rnacentral:lncRNA from 1 species
GCCUUUUAAUUGUUAAUUGCAUGCUAUAUGAUGUUGCUCAAAUGAACAUGUUUUUCAAAAUAAAUCCUUCAAGUGGUAUCAAGAGCCUAGGUCUAGUAGUUGGUGAAUCCUUUUGGGUUUUGUAGUUCAUAAGUUUAUGAUUUAAAAGUUGUAAUUGUUACAAGCUUUAUUCUUGCUUCUUUGAAUGUAAAUUUUGUUUGAAAAAUUUGCCAU